GACGAACGCUGGCGGCGUGCCUAAUACAUGCAAGUCGAACGCUUCUUUCCUCCCGAGUGCUUGCACUCAAUUGGAAAGAGGAGUGGCGGACGGGUGAGUAACACGUGGGUAACCUACCCAUCAGAGGGGGAUGACACUUGGAAACAGGUGCUAAUACCGCAUAACAGUUUAUGCCGCAUGGCAUAAGAGUGAAAGGCGCUUUCGGGUGUCGCUGAUGGAUGGACCCGCGGUGCAUUAGCUAGUUGGUGAGGUAACGGCUCACCAAGGCCACGAUGCAUAGCCGACCUGAGAGGGUGAUCGGCCACACUGGGACUGAGGCACGGCCCAGACUCCUACGGGAGGCAGCAGUAGGGAAUCUUCGGCAAUGGACGAAAGUCUGACCGAGCAACGCCGCGUGAGUGAAGAAGGUUUUCGGAUCGUAAAACUCUGUUGUUAGAGAAGAACAAGGACGUUAGUAACUGAACGUCCCCUGACGGUAUCUAACCAGAAAGCCACGGCUAACUACGUG
rnacentral:rRNA from 1 species